rnacentral:rRNA from 1 species
UACAGAGGGGGCAAGCGUUGCUCGGAAUUACUGGGCGUAAAGAGCGUGUAGGCGGCCAGGUAGGUCUGCUGUGAAAACUCGAGGCUCAACCUCGAGACGUCGGCGGAAACCAUCUGGCUAGAGUCCGGAAGAGGAGAGUGGAAUUCCUGGUGUAGCGGUGAAAUGCGCAGAUAUCAGGAAGAACACCCGUGGCGAAGGCGGCUCUCUGGGACGGUACUGACGCUGAGACGCGAAAGCGUGGGGAGCGAACAGG